GCAGCUGGACGUGGCCAGUCUGGUCAAGGAAAUCAAGGGCGCGUCCAGACAGUGAGCCAAAACAAGGAGGACUGUGAGCUCGCCGAACGCGCAGACUUGAUCCUUGAUCUGCUCGGUCGGUUGCAGAAAUCCAAGGUCAUAGAGGACCCUGACAUGUGGAAACCAACGGAGAGGCUCAGAUCAACUCUUCGUAGGGCGUGCGAGGUCAUCGAAUUCUGUCAGGAGAGGAGCUGCGCGUACCGUUUCUGCAAGAGCGACCAUAUCGCCAAAGAGUUGCGCAAGGUGCUCAAGGCUCUGAAAUUUUGCGUUGCCCACCUGACGGCACUCACCACCAUCAUCAAUGGUGAUCAAACCACACGUUACUUUCUGGUCCAGCAGACUCCAGAUGUUGUUAAGCUGCAGCAAAGUAAACUUGAAUCACCUUUUUCUACAGUCCUGCAUAAUAUUGUUGAAGAAACAUCAGCAGAAAAGAAGAGAUCAAGAUGCUGUCGGUGGCAUCCCUGGAAGAGCAUUGCUACCACUUCCAACACUGGCAUGCUUGUUGCACAAAAAGAAACAGGUAAUGAUGAAUGA
rnacentral:lncRNA from 1 species